UACGUAGGGUGCGAGCGUUAAUCGGAAUUACUGGGCGUAAAGUGUGCGCAGGCGGCGUCGCAAGUCGAGUGUGAAAUCCCCGGGCUUAACUUGGGAAUUGCGCUCGAAACUACGGUGCUGGAGUGUGGCAGAGGAAGGUGGAAUUCCACGUGUAGCGGUGAAAUGCGUAGAUAUGUGGAGGAAUACCAGAGGCGAAGGCGGCACCCUGGGUCUGACCUGACACUGAUCCGCGACAGCAUGGGGAGCGAACGGG
rnacentral:rRNA from 1 species